rnacentral:rRNA from 1 species
CACGUAGGGUGCGAGCGUUGUCCGGAAUUAUUGGGCGUAAAGAGCUCGUAGGCGGUGUGUCGCGUCGGCCGUGAAAACCUGCAGCUUAACUGUGGGCUUGCGGUCGAUACGGGCAUCACUGGAGUUCGGCAGGGGAGACUGGAAUUCCUGGUGUAGCGGUGAAAUGCGCAGAUAUCAGGAGGAACACCGGUGGCGAAGGCGGGUCGCUGGGCCGAUACUGACGCUGAGGAGCGAAAGCGUGGGGAGCGAACAGG